rnacentral:rRNA from 1 species
CAGUCGCCGCGGUAAUACGGAGGGUGCAAGCGUUAAUCGGAAUUACUGGGCGUAAAGCGCACGCAGGCGGUCUGACAAGUCAGAUGUGAAAUCCCCGGGCUUAACCUGGGAACUGCAUUUGAAACUGUCAGGCUGGAGUCUUGUAGAGGGGGGUGGAAUUCCAGGUGUAGCGGUGAAAUGCGUAGAGAUCUGGAGGAAUACCGGUGGCGAAGGCGGCCCCCUGGACAAAGACUGACGCUCAGGUGCGAAAGCGUGGGGAGCAAACAGGAUUAGAUACCCGUGUAGUCCCUGUCUCUUUACA